AUUGAACGCUGGCGGCAGGCCUAACACAUGCAAGUCGAGCGGAUGAGUGGAGCUUGCUCCAUGAUUCAGCGGCGGACGGGUGAGUAAUGCCUAGGAAUCUGCCUGGUAGUGGGGGACAACGUUUCGAAAGGAACGCUAAUACCGCAUACGUCCUACGGGAGAAAGCAGGGGACCUUCGGGCCUUGCGCUAUCAGAUGAGCCUAGGUCGGAUUAGCUAGUUGGUGAGGUAAUGGCUCACCAAGGCGACGAUCCGUAACUGGUCUGAGAGGAUGAUCAGUCACACUGGAACUGAGAUACGGUCCAGACUCCUACGGAGGCAGCAGUGGGGAAUAUUGGACAAUGGGCGAAAGCCUGAUCCAGCCAUGCCGCGUGUGUGAAGAAGGUCUUCGGAUUGUAAAGCACUUUAAGUUGGGAGGAAGGGUAGUAACCUAAUACGUUGCUACUUGACGUUACCGACAGAAUAAGCA
rnacentral:rRNA from 1 species